ensembl:lncRNA
AAAACAUGUCCAAAUCAACUUCAUAACCGUCUCAGUCCUCAUUUUAUAAAACACAACAUUUUCUUGACGCUACCAGCAGCAUCACUUCUGUCAGCCACUAGCCUCGUAAAAUGAACGAAUCCAUAAUCACCCCUCUACGGGAAGGAGGUCGAUUUCAAUGACUAUCUAAUAAAGGAAUAAAUUCAGCGUUAAAAAAAAAUCAGAAUCCCUAAGAACCCUAGAGGCAAAUGCCAAAGGAAAUCUGAUCUGAUGAAAGCAGGUUUUUUUUUUUUUUUUAUAAGGGAGGCUUUAUUUUCUUUUUUCCCAAAGACAAAACUGCAUUUUAAAAAUGGUCGUUUGGUUUAUCGACGAAUCUCUAUUUAAGGAACUGAAUACAGAACUGAUUAUACAGCUGGGAAAACUUCUCCACUGCAACGCACUCUGAAAUGGUCUGAUUUGGUGGAAAGCUUGAAUCAGGCCGAAGCGGAUGGUUUUGCAACUCUGACGUGCUUAAUUACUUUCAACGCAGAGCCAGCCAGGAACUCAUUCUUUUACCUGCGGAGUCCGGGAGAACGCACCCCACAGCUGAUGAAGAUGGUUUGUAAUGAGCGGCUCAUCUGCGCACUAGUUGAGAAGGGCUGCGCUCCUCCUAUCCAAUUGGCUGCUUCUCCUCCGAGCACUGCUCAGGGAUGCUGGGGCUUCCCAGCCCCUCUCUCUCACCACACUGCCUUUGGUAAGAGCACCCAGUUGCAGGCUGCGCGGACCACUGCCCAGCCAGGAGCUUUACCCCCGGGCCCCGGCGUCUGGAUGUCUGUUAGGCCUCACCUGCCUUCCUGCCAUCACCCCUUCUCUCUUUUAAGCCAUGAGCAGCACUGGCCACCCACUCCCCAGCCUGAAACCUGGGAGCCCCCUCCGGGCGCCCUGCUGCCUCUCAGCUCAGCAUCCCGGCCACCCGGAGCUGCCUGCGUUGGUUCUCAUGUCUCUCUCCAUUUCAGCCCAAGGCACUGCCUCCCUGGGGAUGGCUCCCUCCUCUCCACCCCCACUACUUCCCUUGUCCCGCAGGAUGCAGCCAAAGGAAUGUUUCUAGAACACACACAGCCUGUCACAGCACCUGCACCAGGCUUGCAGGCCUGAGGCCAGGGCCAGGGGAAGAACCCGUGAUCACCUGUGAUCACCUGUGAUCACCCCCUGUGGCCCGGCAGUGUCAGAAAUGAGCUGACAAACAGCAAGCCGAACUCGAGCAAAACUCAAACAACCCUGGCCUUGCAUUCUGGCACAGUCACUUCUUAGCUGCGCCGUUCCUGGCAGUGUUGAAAGCCUCUUGGGAGCCCCAUUGCUCUGAAAGGGGGGUAAUAUGCGAUUCCUUCCUGAAAAACUUGUCUGUAAGUAAAAUGAAGCAGUGUGGUAUAGCAGGAAGUGCAAGCUGGGUCCUUCAUUUAAAUUUUGUUUUUCUGAAAUUAAUUAUUUUAUUUCAAAUAGAGCAAGAGAGAGAUGGUCCAUCCACUGGUUCACCCCCCAAAUGCCUACCAUGGCUGGGACUGCGCCAGGCUGAAGUCAGGAUCCAGGAACUCGAUCUAAGAGUCCCACAUACGUGACAGGGCCCAACUACUUGAGCCACUAUCUGCUGCCGCACGAAGUGUAUCCUGGGGAAGCUGGAAUUGGGAGCAGAGCCAGGGCUCAAACGCACACCCAGGCACUCGAGCAUGGAGUGUGGGAAGCUGAACCAUUCUCCCUCCCUGUCCUACUCUUUGGAACGAAAUUUUGUAGCUCUCAGAAGCGCUUCUUGGAUGAAACACUCGCU